rnacentral:rRNA from 1 species
AGUAACGCGUGGGUAACCUGCCUCAUACAGGGGAUAACAGUUAGAAAUGACUGCUAAUACCGCAUAGGCGCACAGUGCUGCAUGGCACAGUGUGAAAAACUCCGGUGGUAUGAGAUGGACCCGCGUCUGAUUAGCUAGUUGGUGGGGUAACGGCCUACCAAGGCGACGAUCAGUAGCCGGCCUGAGAGGGUGAACGGCCACAUUGGGACUGAGACACGGCCCAA